AUUAACCUAGUUUAAAGGAAAACAAGAGCUUGUCGAGCUCUAGAAACAACAGUGUUGUGGUUAAUG
rnacentral:tRNA from 1 species